rnacentral:lncRNA from 10 species
AGGUGAUCUUCCCACCUCGGCCUCCAAAAGUGCUGGGAUUACAGGCAUGAGCCACUGUGCCCAGCCUUAAUUUUUCAAUUCUUUUAUAGGGACAGGAUCUUGCUAUGUUGCCCCAGCUGGACUCAAACUCCUGGCCUCAAGCAAUCCUCCUGCCUCGGCCUCCUAAAGUGCUGGAAUUACAGUCAUGAGCCACUGUGCCCGGCCUCAUUAAAUAUUAUUAAAUGUCUGCUCUGCACUUGGUUCUAUUCCAGACUCUGGAAACUAGAAGCAGACCUUAAGAUGAUGACAACACAGUGACCAGAGUUAGAGUCAAGCUUUCCAGAGAAGUUAACCUUCACACCUAGCAAUGUUGGGGAAAUGGGUUCUGUGUUCCAAUUUGGAAUGGCAGUUUUAUUCUUUCCUUACUGGGGCCUCCAUUUUCCUUUACCCUUGUCUUCAGGGCUUGCCGUCAGCUGUUAAUGGUGACUGUCUUGGCUUGAGGUUCCAUUGGACUGGGUCUGGAGGGCUGACAUUCAGAGUAGGGAGUUUAGGGGAUGGGAAGGUGAUCUUCUGGCCAUUUGAACCCUGGGGAUAUGCUUUUAAUCCUGACUUGAUGCCCUCUCUGCUACCUUACUUUUCUUUUGCAUGCCCCGGGGCCUCAUGGUUUGCUUCGUUUUCCACCAUCUACAGCUUCUGAAUGGUUUUUCUCUCCCUUCCCUGCCCCACAGUCACAGGGUUUUUAAGUGGUAGAGGAGGGAUUCCAAUCUAGGCAGUCUUCAAAGCCUGGACUAUUCACCAUUGUCUUCUGGGCAAAAGAAGGUGCCUCAGCCACAUUCCUGAAGUGUUCCUGUACCCCUGUUUGUCUUGAAGUAAUGUUCGCCUGGGUCAGGAGCCACUUCUGUAAAGUUACCAGAUAACUCUGGGCUCUUUGAGUCUUGCUGACUUCCGACAGAUCGUGGGUUUGAAAUUCUGUGUGAAUGGAUGGCGAGAAACUGUGGGCACAUAUUAAUAUAUUAUGCAUAUC